CAGACUAAAGCUUGUAGAGUUUUUUAUUUACACUAAAAGGAAUAUUGUUAUCAAUAUAGUUUGA
rnacentral:tRNA from 1 species